UCCUACGGGGGGCAGCAAUUAGGAAUCUUGCGCAAUGGGCGAAAGCCUGACGCAGCGACGUCGCGUGACCGAUGAAGUCCUUCGGGAUGUAAAGGUCUUUUAUGGGGGAAGAAGGAUGUGACGGUACCCCAAGAAUAAGCCCCGGCUAACUACGUGCCAGCAGCCGCGGUAAUACGUAGGGGGCGAGCGUUGUCCGAAUUUACUGGGCGUAAAGCGCGCGUAGGCGGGUUAUUAAGUUGGGGGUGAAAUCCCGAGGCUCAACCUCGGAACUGCCUCCAAAACUGGUAGCCUUGAGGUAUGGAGAGGGAAGUGGAAUUCCUGGUGUAGCGGUGAAAUGCGUAGAUAUCAGGAGGAACACCUGUGGCGAAGGCGGCUUCCUGGCCAUAUCCUGACGCUGAGGUGCGAAAGCUAGGGGAGCGAACGGGAUUAGAUACCCUUGUAGUCAG
rnacentral:rRNA from 1 species